AGACCGACCCCGACCGACAGACAGACCCCGACCGACCGACAGACAGACAGACAGACAGACCGACCACCCCGCCGGGGGCAGCGGGACACUGGCGUGGGAGGAAAAAGGAAUGGCGGCGGGGAAAGGGCGUACCCCGCAGGGGCGCUGUGAGGGCACCUCUCGGGCGGUGUGAGGUGCGCUUGUCCUCCCUGCGGAGCAGCGAGAGGGGCUGGCGUGCCCUCAGAGGUGGCACGAGGCGGGAAUGUCUGUGUCUGUGUGUGUAUCUGUGUGUGUGUCUGUUCCAGGACCGGUGUGAGGCGGGAAUGGACCCUCCUGUUGGGGCGGUGUGAGGCGGGAAUGGCUCUUCCCGUUAGGGGUGGCGCGAGGCGGGAAUGGCUCCUCCCUUUAGGGGCGUUGUGAGGCGAGAAUGGCCGUCUCCUCUCCUCAGGUGCGGCGUGAGGCGGGAAUGGCUUCUCCUCCCCUCAGGAGCGGCGUGAGGCGGGAAUGGCUUCUCCUCUCCUCAGGCUCAGCAUGUCCCUGCCAGCAAACAGGUGUGGAAGGCCCCCCGUGUUGUCUUUUCUGGAAAAGAGAAAGAAGAGUCUUGAUAGAAGAAGGGGGAAAACAAGGAUUUAUGUGGGAGAUCACAUUGACCGGUAGCUGACGCUCAAGGAAAAGUUGGAUUUCAGAAAUGACUCAGAAGUUGUAGGGAUUUACUUUACUGGAUAUUAGGUGAACGAGUUGGGGUUUGGAAAGCAAUUCUAUGGCAGAGAAGAAUCCUUGGAAGUUGGUCAGGAGCAAAUAAACACCAGUGCUGAUGAAGCUGAAAAAUUCAGAGGUGUGGCACUGCACUUCCCAUUGAAGGGAGCAGAUGCAGGGUGAGCAGCAAGAAGAAAAUCCAGCUCUUGCAUAACAAUACAGGGGCAAUUUUUACCCCAUUUUGAUUUUGCUAUGGGGAUAUUGUGAACUGUAAAGAAUUACUGUAAGUUGUGUGAAAUUCUGUGUUGUGUUGAACAGCACAUUAAACUCAAUUACAUAAAGUUUUCUUGUGUUAUGUCA